UACGUAGGGUGCGAGCGUUGUCCGGAAUUAUUGGGCGUAAAGAGCUCGUAGGCGGUCUGUCGCGUCGGUCGUGAAAACUUGGGGCUUAACCCUGAGCUUGCGGUCGAUACGGGCAUGACUGGAGUUCGGCAGGGGAGACUGGAAUUCCUGGUGUAGCGGUGAAAUGCGCAGAUAUCAGGAGGAACACCGUGGCGAAGGCGG
rnacentral:rRNA from 1 species